AUUGAACGCUGGCGGCAUGCCUUACACAUGCAAGUCGAACGGUAACAGGUCUUCGGAUGCUGACGAGUGGCGAACGGGUGAGUAAUACACCGGAACGUGCCUAGUAGUGGGGGAUAACUACUCGAAAGAGUGGCUAAUACCGCAUGAGAUCUACGGAUGAAAGCAGGGGAUCGCAAGACCUUGUGCUACUAGAGCGGCCGAUGGCAGAUUAGGUAGUUGGUGGGAUAAAAGCUUACCAAGCCGACGAUCUGUAGCUGGUCUGAGAGGACGAUCAGCCACACUGGGACUGAGACACUGCCCAGACUCCUACGGGAGGCAGCAGUGGGGGAUUUUGGACAAUGGGCGAAAGCCUGAUCCAGCAAUGCCGCGUGCAGGAGGAAGGCCUUCGGGUUGUAAACUGCUUUUGUACGGAACGAAAAGCCCCGGGUUAAUACCCUGGGGUCAUGACGGUACCGUAAGAAUAAGCACCGGCUAACUACGUGCCAGCGCCGCAGUAA
rnacentral:rRNA from 1 species